UCAAGCACAUUUGUCAUGAUACUGCACCUACUGUCCGGUAUAUGAUACAUGACAAAGUUCAAACUUCCAAGUUGGCAAUUCGAAAAAACAAAAUAAAGUUUGGCGACGAUGCCAUGGAUUUUGUGUGAAGAAUUUGGGCUGAUAUUUUAGUAUUCUUAUUUCUGCCGAGAAGAAAUGGAAGUGUUUGUUCUUAUGAGAAGGCACACUCACGC